GGUAUUGCUUUUCCCCCCGGGGGAAGUGCAGUAGCAGCUGUGGCCUGGAGGCUGCGAGGUGCCAGGGUGGGAGCCUCUCUGCAGCCUGGGAGUGUGAGCAGCUGCUUGCUUGUUUGAAGACUGAUGCCAGGGGGGAAAGGCAGGGACCUGCUGGCCUGUUCGGAGCUCCUUGUUUGCUGUUGCUUUGGGACUUGGACUCCCCUGCCGAGGUGGGAGAGCAUCUGGGCUGGAGAAGGGCCAUGCCAGAUCCCGGGUGAAGCAGCAGCCGGCCUGCAGAGACCCAAGGCGGAAGCGGAGGAAGGAGCCUCGCGGCAGGACCAGGUCGAGCUCCCAGACUUUAACCAUCCGACCAGCCCAAAGUCGCCUCGCCUGCACGGCCAACUGUUGCUUCAGGACAAACCCACGUGGCCGAAGUGCAGAAGGAGCCGCGGACACCCGGGUGUUAAUGAUCCUCUCCUUUUUAAUAGCCUUGAUGUUGCACCAAUCAAGCUAGCCUUUCUUCUGCCAUUCUGCUGUCUGUUGGCUGCUCCUGGUCACGUAACUCCUAUUUCACAGCCUGGCAGACUGUUUUUUCACUCGAGCUGAAAACAUGAAGGCAGGUGUGGAAAUAGCUUUCAGUGAAGCACUGGAUGCACUGUCGAGAUGCUCAAGAAGGCUAGGUGUUAUCUUCUGAAUCUGCAAAAGAGAUGUCCGUUUAAGUCCAAUGACUGCUGGACUGAGUACUUUUGUUGGGUUUUUAUAUAUGAUACAGCAAAUGAAUGCACCUUCCCAUCAAGUUGUAUUUGUUUUCACUUUCAUCGUCAACUGAAUAAUAUAGCCCU